CCUACGGGUGGCAGCAGUGAGGAAUAUUGGUCAAUGGACGGAAGCCUGAACCAGCCAUGCCGCGUGCAGGAAGACGGCCCUAUGAGUUGUAAACUGCUUUUGUACAAGGGUAAACCUGAAUACGUGUAUUCAGCUGAAAGUACUGUACGAAUAAGGAUCGGCUAACUCCGUGCCAGCAGCCGCGGUAAUACGGAGGAUCCAAGCGUUAUCCGGAUUUAUGGGGUUUAAAGGGUGCGUAGGCGGAUUGAUAAGUUAGAGGUGAAAUGUGCGAGCUUAACUCGGGAACUGCCUCUAAUACUGUUGAUCUAGAGAGUAGAUGCGGUAGGCGGAAUGUAUGGUGUAGCGGUGAAAUGCUUAGAGAUCAUACAGAACACCGAUUGCGAAGGCAGCUUACCAAUCUAUAUCUGACGUUGAGGCACGAAAGCGUGGGGAGCAAACAAGAUUAGAUACCCCAGUAGUC
rnacentral:rRNA from 1 species